GAUGAACGCUGGCGGCGUGCUUAAUACAUGCAAGUCGAGCGAGCAGACGAGGCGCUUGCUCCUCCGACGUUAGCGGCGGACGGGUGUGUAACACGUGGAUAAUCUACCUAUCAGUCUGGGAUAACCUCGGGAAACCGGAGCUAAUCCCGGAUAAUCUACUGAUCCGCAUGGUUCAAUAGUGAAAGACGGUUUUGCUGUCACUUAUAGAUGGAUCUGGGCCGCAUUAGCUAGUUGGUACGGUAAAGGCUUACCAAGGCAAGCAUGCGUAGCCGACCUGAGAGGGUGAUCGGCCACACUGGAGCGGGAACACGGACCAGGGUCCUACGGGAGGGAGCAGUAGGGUAUCUGCCGCAGUAGGCGAGAACCUGACGGAGCAACGCGGAGUGUGUGAUGAAGGUCUUCGGUUCGUAAAACUCUGUUAUUAGGGAAAAACAAAUGUGUAAGUAGCUAUGCACGUCUUGACGGUACCUGGUCAGAAAGCCACGGCUAACUACGUG
rnacentral:rRNA from 1 species